CAUUUUCCCUCUUAAUGCUAAUAAUUUUCGAUUCAAGCUGGGUAUGAUUCCAUUACUUCCUAAUUUUCAUGGCUUAGAAUCCGAAAGUCCAUAUUUGCAUCUUAAAGAAUUUGAGGAAGUAUGUGCCACAUUUAACGAUCAAACUUGUCCCAAUGAAAUUGUUAAGUUGAAAUUGUUUCCUUUUUCUCUAAAAGAUAAAGCAAAAACUUGGCUUAACUCUUUAAAACCUAGGUCGAUUGGCACAUGGCAAGAAAUACAAAGUGAGUUUUUGAAGAAAUUCUUUCCAGCACAUAAAACUAAUGCUUUGAAAAGACAAAUCCAAAAUUUUUCUCAAAAAACCAAUGAAGCGUACUUUCAAUGUUUAGAAAGAUUUAAAUAUUUGUUAAAUACAUGCCCACAUCAUGGUUUUGAAAAAUGGCGUACUAUAAAUUUCUUUUAUGAGGGUCUAACUCCUGAAAUAAAACAAUUUGUAGAAACGAUGUGCAAUGGUGAAUUUUUAGAUAAAGAUCCAGAUGAAGCUUUAGAAUUUUUAGAUCAUCUAGCUGAAAAUUCUCAAUCUUGGCAAACAAUAAAACCAAUCGAAAACUCAAUUAGAUCUAGUCUUGCUAGUUCUAGUGGAGGAAAAUAUCAAUUGAGUCAAGAUGAUGAUCUAAAUGCUAGGAUUGCUAGUUUGUCUAGAAAGGUUGAAGCUAUGGAAUUAAGGAAAGUAAAGGAAGUUAAACCCGUGCAAAAUGAUGAAAUUUGUAGCAUUUGUGAAACGUUUGGUCAUCUUACGCAUGAUUGUCCUAACAUUCCAAUUUUCAACGAAGUUUUACAUGAUCAAGGCAAUGCUAUGAACACUUUCAAAAAGCCUUUUUCUUCGCCAUACUCAGAAACAUAUAAUCAACAAUGGAGAAAUCAUCCCAACUUUAGUUGGAGAGAUGAUAAUCGUGUUCAUUUAUCACAACCUCAAGGGCUUUCAGAAUUUCCUUCUUUUCCACCACCACAAUCAAAGACUCUUGAGGAAACAUUGCAGUCUUUUAUGCAAGGACAAGCAAAUAUUAAUAAUCAAACUUCACAAGCCAUCAAUGAAAUUAAGAACACACUUUCUUCAUUGACCUCUUCUUUGCAUUCUCAAGAGAAAGGCAAAUUUCCUGCUCAACCUCAACCAAAUCCUUCUAAGCAAUAUAAUGUAAAUGCUUCUAGUUCUUCUGAAAGUCAACAACAAAAUGCCAACUCCAUCACGACUAUUCGCAGUGGAAAAAUUAUUGACAAAACCAUCCCUUCAAAAGAACUAAAAUCUGGUCGUACUUCAAAGCAAGAAAAUGUCGUUUCCAAAAGUGAGGAAAAGAUCAUUUCUGAACCUAUUGUUGAAAAAUGUCCCAUUCCAGCUCCAUUUCCUCAACGAUUGCAACCAAUUUCAAAACUCAACACAAUUCUGAAAUUUUUGAACUUUUUAAACAAGUCAAAAUUAACAUACCAUUAUUGGAUGCAAUCAAACAAGUACCUUCAUAUGCAAAAUUUUUAAAAGACUUGUGCACUGUUAAGAGGAAACUUAAUGUUCAACAGAAAGCAUUUUUGACAGAGAAUGUGAGCUCAAUCAUUCAACAAAACACUCCACCUAAAUUCAAAGAUCCUGGUUGUCCAACAAUUUCUUGUGUGAUUGGGAAUAAUAGGAUAGAGCGUGCUUUGCUUGAUCUUGGUGCAAGUGUUAAUCUAUUACCUUUUUCUGUGUAUGAGCAACUUGGUUUGGGAGAGCUUAAGCCAACAACAACAACACUUCAACUUGCUGAUCGUUCAGUAAAAGUUCCAAGAGGGGUUGUAGAGGAUGUUCUAGUUCAAAUUGAUAAAUUCUAUUAUCCUGUUGAUUUUAUAGUUUUGGACACACAUCCUGUUUUAAAUUCAAAUGCACAAAUACCUGUCAUUUUAGGACGUCCCUUUCUUGCUACUUCAAAUGCGUUGAUAAAUUAUAGAAAUGGUAUCUUAAAACUCUCUUUUGGAAAUAUGACCGUGGAAAUGAAUAUUUUUAAUAUUUGCAAGCAACAUGGAGAUGAAGAUGAUUUGCAUGAAGUAGAUCUUAUUGAACAACUUGUUGAGGAUCAAUUUAUCACUACAUCUUCAUAUGAUGCGCUUGAAUUUGAAUUCAACGAUAAUUCUAAAAAUUCGCAUAUGAUUUCAAGUGUUCAAGAGCCAAAGCUCGGUUUGAAACCAUUUUUUGAGAAUUUCUCUAGAUUUGAAGAGCCCGUUGCUAUACAUGAUUCUAAAGAUUGAUACCAUUUUCUCAUUAUUUUAUUUUGUAUGUUUCUUUUUAGUUUUGUAAUGUUGUGUGUUUGUUUUAGGUGUGUUUCUUUUAUUGUUGUUUCUUUUUUUUUCACUAAUGAAAUUGAAGGAUCAUUUAGGCCAAGUUUAUGCAGACUUUCCAAGUAAAACUCAAAACCCAUCCCUUUGUUCAAAAUUUUGCUCCUUAUUGUCCUUCAUAUAUUUUGCACAUUUAAUCUUUACAUUGAGGACAAUGUUUCAUUUAGGUUGGGGGAAGGAAUCAAAAUGUUCCAAAAAAAAAAAAGUUCUUACCGACCGAUGAUAAUAGUUGAAAUUGUUUUUAUAUUAUUUUGACUAGGGGACGCUACUUUGAUUUAGUUUAAGCUUGUUCAUGUUAGAUUGAUCUACAUUAAGCACAAUAAUCAUGAAAAUCACAUAUUAUUUAGAUUGGAUCAAUGGAUAGAAUAUGUAGAAUUAACUAUGACCAAAAAAAAAAAAAAAAUUCAACUAAACCAAUUAUAGGAUAGUUUGGGGUGGUUGAGCUAUUGUGGGAAGACAUUGAGAUAGAUGUGGAUUCCAUGUGUGUUAAAUUUUGUGUGGAUUGCUUAAGACCAAUGAGAUGAUAAUUAGGUGAAAAUAUUAAGUUAAAGAUCGAUUUUUGAGAAUAAGUGUUUAAUGAGGGGCAUUGCACUAAUCAUUGCAUAGAAGGGAAAAAGCUUCCAUGUUGUGAAGCUACCCUAAAAGAGCCCAAUGAGGACAAUUAUAUACAUAAAAAGAGAUAGACUAGUGCAUGAAACAGAAUACGCACGGCAAACUUGAAAAAAGCAAGUGCAUGAAAUAGAAGACGCACUACAUGCCUUGAUUAAGUCCCAAACACUUAUUUUAGAGAAUUAGACCUUUGAUAAGGGAUUAGUAGCUUAGUUGAUUCUUGGAGAUUGUAUCAAUCAAAAUUAAGGAGAAUCCUCAUUUAUUGAUGUGUUGAGCUACAAUUAGUAAAAUCUAACCAAACUAGAGAUGGUGAGUAAUAGUAUAUAAAUUUAACCAUACACUACACCUUGGGAAAAUAGUUACAAAAUCAAGUUUGAGGGUGUGCAUCCAACGAGCGAAGAGAGAAAUAAUUGACCAUUGAGGGUCGGGAUGGGUCCAAUUUGAAAAAGGUAUGUGAUUGAAUUGAUUAUGCACACACACACGCUGGUCGAGCAUUGGACAAGUUAGACUAUAUUUUGGUAGCAAACCUUAGAAGAAUUUUGAUAAGCAAUUUCAAAUCCUAAGGCAAAUGGGACAAGCUAUUUCAUUGGAACUAUUUUUGAAUUUUUAUUGCUAGAGACUAGCAAUAUCUUGGUUGGGGAGUGUGAUUAGCAUCUAAAAUUGCUUCAAGAUAUAUAAUUUACAAGGCAUUUUACAUUCACUUUGAUUAAAAAUGCUAAUGUUAGUCUCUAAUUCCAAUUCUCAUGCCGUAAAUUCAAUUUCCAUAAAUACAUGGUUAAAAAUGCAAUUAAUUGAAAUACGUAUUUACAUACAUGGCGGCAUGAGUAUUAUACAUUUGAAAGAGUAUCUAUUUGAUGCAUUUCACAUGUAUUUCCAAUUUAUUACAAGUGGAGCAAGUGGAGGAAAAUAAUGUUGAAAAGUCAAAAAUAGUGACUGCCUCAAGCAAGAAGCAGCUGUCGAUAAAAUAAUCAUAACAUGAGCUGCAGACAUUGGAUCGAGGUGAUUCAAGUUGGGUUGGAAAGAUAAGGUAUGUUUAUACAACUUUUUUGUUUUGUAAGAAGUCAAAUUCGUAUCACAAGGCAGCCAAAAUUACCGUGUAAAGUCCAGCUUGUUACCUGCCGGAUACAGCUUUACCUGUGAAGCAGCACUUAUUUUUUUUGUCAUAUCUGGAGUUAUAUAGAUCCAAUGAACCUGAUAUUUGAACCAAUGGAAAGAAAACUCAAGUGGAAAUAAUUUAUCUGUUGAUCAUAAGUCCAAAUUCGCUGCACAAUGUAUCUGAAAAUUGGCAUCAAUUUGCAUGUUCCAGCUGUCUUGAAGCUGGACAGAAACAAGUUGCAUUGCCUACUUGAAUUUUGGAUGUUCCUUUGCCUAUAAAAGGGGACCUUGGCCACGAUUUUGAAGAAUAAAUUCUCUCCAUCAUAUUAUAGUUUCCUUCAUUUUCUUUGUAACAUUUCACUAUGUAUUUCUAAACAUUUAGCUGGAGCUAAGGGUGAAACUUUGAUGAAUGUUUAGUAUUGUCUUUGAUCUUUCAUUUUGUUCUUCAAUGUUCAUCUUCUUACUUGGUUGAAGUAUAUGUUUUACAAAUGGUUUUGGUUUGUUAAAGACUUUGAUUUAUUGUUGACAAUUUUGGCACAAUAAAUGCUUGGAUAAUCUCUACAUUCCAACAACUUAUUUUGACAUAUUCUCUCAAACAAUGAUCAAGAUCUAUCUUUUAAUAUAUUUGUGAUCAAUUUUUUAUCUUCCAUACGAGAUCACUCCUUAGUUGAUUUUCAUAUGAGUUAAAUUAAAGAUCAAGGGCAAUUUCUACUCAUUUAUCUGAAGUGAAUCCCCGACGCUCUAGUGUUCGUCUCAAUCGUAUUUCCACCAACCAUUUAUUACACAUAGAAUAGUUUAUUUCCUUCCAAUUCCCUGUGGUUCGACCUUGGACUUCCGAGAUUUACUACUUGCGACAAUCUGCACUUAGGUUUGCAACCUUAAAGUUGUAGCAGAUUGAACUCACAGCUUUACCGUGACGUAUGAGGUAUUUCGGUCAUUUUCUUCGAAGAACGAGCACUUGUAUAUUUGGAUUGUCAGCAUUCGAAGAAUUGUGCGUAACUUUUGCACACGGUGUUCAUUUUGGGCCUAUAAGUACUUUUUGAAAAUGUACCGAUCAUUUUGGAUUGAACUCAUGACAUCGUCGUGACGUAAGAGGGAUUUCGACCGUUUGUUUUUCGAAGAACGAGCACUUGCAUAUUUGGAUUGUCGACGUUCGAAGAAUUGAGCGCAACUUUUGUACACAGUGUCCAUUCUGGGCCCAUAAGUACUUUUCGAAAUUGUAGUGAUCGGGUUGGAUUGAACUCAUCGCUUUGCUGUGAUGUACAUGGGAUUUGGGCCAUUUUUCCUUCGAAGAACGAGCACUUGCAUAUUUGGAUUGUCGACAUUCGAAGAAUUGAGCGUAACUUUUGCACACAGUUUUCAUUUUGGGCACAUGAGUACUUUUCGGAAAUGUAGCGACCAUUUUGGAUUGAACUCACGCAUUGUCGUGACGUAAGAGGGAUUUCGACCAUUUGUUUUUCGAUGAACGAGCACUUGUAUAUUUGGAUUGUCGGCGUUCAAAGAAUUGAGCGUAACUUUUGCACACGUUGUCCAUUUUGGGCCCAUAAGUACUUUUCGAAAAUGUCGUGACCGUUUUGGAUUGAACUCACCACUUUGUUGUGAUGCAUGAGGGAUUUUGGGCAUUUCUUUUUCGAAGAACGAGCACUGGCAUAAUUGGAUUGUCGGCGUUCGAAGAAUGGAGCGUAACUUUUAGCGACCAUUUUGGAUUGAACUCACGACAUCGUCGUGACGUAAGAGGGAUUUCAACCGUUUGUUUUUCGAAGGACGAGCACUUGCAUAUUUAGGUUGUCAGCAUUCGAAGAAUUGAUCGCAACUUUUGCACAUGGUGUUGGGUUUGGGCCCAUAAGUACUUUUCGAAAAUGUAGCGACUGUUUUGGAUUGAACUCACCGCUUUUCCAUGACGUACGAGGGACUUUAGGCGUUUGUUUUUUGAAGAAUGGGCACUUACAUAUUUGGAUUGCUGGCAUUUGAAGAAUAGAGCAUAACUUUUGCACACGAUUUCCGUUUUGGGCCCAUAAGUACUUUUCGUAAAUGUAGCGACCGUUAUGGAUUAAACUCACGGCAUCAUCGUGAUGUAAGAGGGUUUUCGGCCUUUUUUUUUUUUUAACAAUGAGCACUUGCAUAUUUAGAUUCUCGACGUUCGAAGAAUUGAACGUAACUUUUGCACAAGAUUUCCGUUUGGGCCCAUAAGUACUUUUCGGAAAUGUAGCGACCAUUUUGGGUUGAACUCAUAGCUUUGCCGUGAUGUAUGAGGGAUUUCGGGCAUUUUUCCGAAGAACGAGCACUCGCAUAUUUGGAUUGUCAGCGUUCGAAGAAUUGAGCGUAACUUUUGUACACGGUUUCCAUUUUGAGCCCAUAAGUACUUUUCGAAAAUGUAGCGACCGAUUUGGAUUGAACUCACGGCAUUGUCAUGACGUAAGAGGGAUUUCAGCUGUUUGUUUUUAGAAGAACAAGCACUUGCAUAUUUAGAUUGUCGACGUUCGAAGAAUUGAGCGUAACUUUUGGACAUAGUGUUCGUUUUGGGCCCAUAAGUACUUUUCAGAAAUGUAGCGACCGUUUUGGAUUGAAGUCACGACAUCGUCGUGACGUAAGAGGGAUUUCGCCCAUUUGUUUUUCGGAGAACGAGCACUUGCAUAUUUGGAUUGUCAGCGUUCGAAGAAUUGAACGUAACUUUUGCACACGGUUUCCGUUUUGGGUCCAUAAGUACUUUUUGUAAAUGUAGCGACCGUUUUGGAUUAAACUCACGACAUCGUUGUGACGUAAGAGGGAUUUCGACCGUUUGUUUUAUGAAGAACGAACAUUUGCAUAUUUUGAUUGUCGGUGUUCGAAGAAUUGAGCAUAACUUUUGCACACGGUGUCCGUUUUGGGGUCAUAAGUACUUUUCGAAAAUGUAGCGAGCAUUUUGGAUUGAACUUACUGCUUUGCCGUGAUGUAUGAGGGAUUUCAGGCAUUUUUUCCAAGAAUGAGCACUUGCAUAUUUGGAUUGUCGGCGUUCGAAGAAUUGAGCGUAACUUUUGCACACGGUUUCCGUUUCGGGCCCAUAAGUACUUUUUGAAAAUGUAGCGACCAUUUUGGAUUGAACUCACCACUUUGCCGUGAUGUAUCAGGGACUUCGGGUGUUUGUUUUCCGAAGAACAAGCACUUGCAUAUUUGGAUUGUCGGCUUUCGAAGAAUUGAUCGUAACUUUUGCACACGAUGUCCGUUUUAGGCCUAUAAGUAAUUUUCAGAAAUGUAGCGACCAUUUUGGAUUGAACUCACGGCACCAUCGUGACGUAAGAGGGAUUUUGGCCGUUUUUUUUUUUGAAAAACGAGCAUUUGCAUAUUUGGAUGGUCGGCGUUCGAAGAAUUGAGCGUAACUUUUGCAUACGGUGUCCGUUUUGGGCCCAUAAGUACUUUUCGAAAAUGUAACGACAGCUUUGGAUUGAACGUACAGCUUUACCAAGGCGUAUGAGGGAUUUCCAGAAUUUCUUUUUGAAGAACGAGCACUUGCAUACUUGGAUUGUCGACGUUCAAAGAAUUGAGUGUAACUUUUGCACACGAUUUUUGUUUUGGGCCCAUAAGUACUUUUCGAAAAUGUAGCGACCGUUUUGGAUUAAACUCAUGGCAUCAUCGUGAUGUAAGUGGGAUUUCGGCCAUUUUUCUUUCGAAGAAUGAGCACUUGCAUAUUUGGAUUGUCGGGGUUUGAAGAAUUGAGGGUAACUUUUGCACACGGGUUCCGUUUGGGCCCAUAAGUACUUUUCGAAAAUGUAGCGACCAUUUUGGAUUGAACUCAUUGCAUCGUCAUGAUGUAAGAGGGAUUUCGACCAUUUUUUUUGAAGAAUGAGCAUUUGCAUAGUUGGAUUGUCGACGUUUGAAGAAUUGAGCGCAACUUUUGCACACGGUGUCCGUUCUGGGCCCAUAAGUACUUUUCGGAUAUGUAGCGACCAUUUUGGAUUGAAUUCACAGCUUUGCCAUGAUGUAUGAGGGAUUUCGGGCCCUUUUUUUGAAGAACAAGCACUUACAUAUUUGGAGUGUCGGCGUUCGAAGAAUUGAGCGUAACUUUUGCACACGGUUUCUGUUAUGGACCCAUAAGUACUUUUCGAAAAUGUAGCGACCAUUUUGGAUUGAACUCGCAGCAUCAUCGUGAUGUAAGAGGGAUUUCAACUAUUUGUUUUUCGAAGAACGAGCACUUGUAUAGUUGGAUUGUCGGCGUUCGAAGAAUUGAGCGUAACUUUUGUACACAGUAUUCGUUCUGGGCCCAUAAGUACUUUUCGGAAAAGUAGCGACCGUUUUGGAUUGAACUCACGGCACCAUCGUGACGUAAAAGGGAUUUUAGGUGUUUAUUUUUUGAAGAACGCGCUUUUGCUUAUUUGGAUUGUCGACGUUCAAAGAAUUGAGCGUAACUUUUGCACACGGUGUCCGUUUUGGGCCCAUAAGUACCUUUCGGGAAUGUCGCGACAGUUUUGGAUUGAACUCACAGCUUUACCGUGACAUAUAAGGGAUUUGGGGCAUUUUUUUUGAAGAAUGAGCACUUGCAUAUUUACAUUGUCGGCGUUCGAAGAAUUGAGCGUAACUUUUGCACACGGUUUCCGUUUUGGGCCCAUGAGUACUUUUCGAAAAUGUAGCGACUGUUUUGGAAUGAACUCACGGCAUCAUCAUGACGUAAGAGGGAUUUUGACCUUUUUUCGAAGAACUAGCACUUGCAUAUUUGGAUUGUCGGCCUUCGAAGAACUGAGCGUAACUCUUGUACACGGCGUCCGUUCUGGGCCCAUAAAUACUUUUCGAAAAUGUAACGACCGUUUUGGAUUGAAAUCACAACUUGCCAUGAUGUAUGAGGGAUUUUGGGAAUUUUUUUCGAAGAACGUGCACUUGCAUAUUUGGAUUGUCAGCGUUCGAAGAAUUGAGCUUAACUUUUGCACACGGUGUCCAUUUUGGACCCAUAAGUACUUUUCGGAAAUGUAGCGCCAGUUUUGGAUUGAACUCACAGCUUUACCAUGACGUAUGAGGUAUUUCAGGCAUUUUUUCGAAGAACGAGCACUUGUAUAUUUGGAUUGUCGGCGUUCGAAGAAUUGAGCGUAACUUUUGCACACGGGAUUGUCAGCGUUCGAAGAAUUGAGCGUAACUUUUGCACACGGUGUUCGUUUUGGGCCCAUAAGUACUUUUCGAAAAUGUACCGAUCAUUUUGGAUUGAACUCACGACAUCGUCGUGACGUAAGAGGGAUUUCGACCAUUUGCUUUUCGAAGAACGAGCAUUUGCGUAUUUGGAUUGUCGACGUUCGAAGAAUUGAGAGCAACUUUUGUACACGGUGUCCGUUCUGGGCCCAUAAGUACUUUUCGAAAAUGUAGAGACCGUUUUGGAUUGAACUCACCGCUUUUCUGUGACGUAUGUGGAAUUCUGGGCAUUUUUUUUUGAAGAACGAGCACUUGCAUAUUUGGAUUGUCGGCAUUCGAAGAAUUGAGCAUAACUUUUGCACACGUUUCCGUUUUCGGCCCAUAAGUAUUUUUCGUAAAUGUAGCGACCGUUUUGGAUUAAACUCAUGGCAUCGUCGUGACGUAAGAGGGAUUUUGGCCUUUUUUUUGAAGAACGAACACUUGCAUAUUUGGAUUGUCGGCGUUUGAAGAAUUGAGCGUAAGUUUUGCACACGGGUUCCGUUUGGGCCCAUAAGUACUUUUCGAUAAUGUAGUGACCAUUUUGGAUUGAACUCAUGACAUCAUCGUGACGUAAGAGGGAUUUCGACCAUUUUUUUUGAAGAAUGAGCACUUGCAUAGUUGGAUUGUCGACGUUCGAAGAAUUGAGCGCGAUUUUUGCACACGGUGUCCGUUCUGGGCCCAUAAGUACUUUUCGGUUAGGUAGCGACCAUUUUUAGGGUUGGCAACGGUUCAGUUAUGGGUCGGUUCGGCCAAAACCAUAACCGCACCACCAAAUUCUUGACCAUACCAUAAUCGCACCAUAACCACGUAAAUCGGUUCGGUUCGUUUCGAUUUUUAUCUCGGUUCGGCACGGUUCGGUUCGGUUAAUAACCACGAAAAUAAAUUAUUUUUUAUAGGUUCAUCCGUCAAAUUGAUAUAAAACAAUUUAUAAAAAAAAGUCAAUGAAAGCAAAAACACAAUAUUCCAAAUGAAAAUGCAAACAUUAUCAAACAAUAUUCCAAACGUAAAUGCAAACAUUAUCCUAAUUUUAAUUGUAAAAUACAAAUUUAACAAAAAAUAUUAUAAAUAUAAUAAUACUAAACUUUUCCUUCAAUCUUAAUUUUUGUGCAUCGAAGUUACUUGAUGCAUUCUUCUGUACAAGUCUUACUAGCAUAGAUCAGCAUUCAAAGUUGAUUCCUAUUCAUCCUUGGCAAUAUUGGCACGUCUAGAAAAACAUCGAACUCUGUUUUUACAUGAUCAGCAGUAAUAGAAUGACUAACAAAUGUAACAAAUUUUUGGAGGCGACGACGAUUUGGACCGUAGAGGCAAUGGAACCGUGUGUGAGUUUGUGGUUGUUGAGAGUAGGGUUUGCAUUUAUAUAUUGUCAUACUAACGCUAUUAUGGGCUAAUGAUAAGUAGAUUGGCCGAAUGAGUCAGGUAGAUGUAAUGAGGAGGGGAGGGAUUUUGUUUUGAUUUGGAUAGAAACGUAGUGUAAAGCCCAUUAUCAAUUCAAAUUUUUUUUUUUUAGCGGGUAAUCGGUUCGGUUUCGGUUUGACGACGUAAAUACCAUACCCGCACCAUUACGAACCGGUUCAUUAAAAUCAAAACCAUAUCUGCCCCAUUGCACCAUCGGUUCGGUUUUUUUUUGCCCCAUUCGGUUCGGUUAACCGCAGUUUUCGGUUUUGACGGUUCAAAUUGCCAUCUCUAACCAUUUUGGAUUGAAUUCACAACUUUGCCAUGAUGUAUGAGGGAUUUCAGGCCCUUUUUUUGAAGAACGAGCACUUGUAUAUUUGGAGUGUCGACGUUCGAAGAAUUGAACGUAACUUUUGCACACGAUUUCCGUUUUGGGCCCAUAAGUACUUUUCGAAAAUGUAGCGACCGUUUUGGAUUGAACUCACAGCAUCAUCAUGAUGUAAAAGGGAUUUCAACUGUUUGUUUUUCAAAGAACGAGCACUUACAUAGUUGGAUUGUCGGCGUUCGAAGAAUUGAGCGCAACUUUUGCAAACGGUGUCCGUUCUGGGACCAUAAGUACUUUUCGGAAAAGUAGCGACCAUUUUGGAUUGAACUCACGGCACCGUCAUGACGUAAGAGGGAUUUUAGGUGUUUAUUUUUUGAAGAACGCGCAUUUGCUUAUUUGGAUUGUCGACGUUCGAAGAAUUGAGCGUAACUUUUGCACACGGUGUCCGUUUUGGGCCUAUAAGUACCUUUCGGAAAUGUCGCGACAGUUUUGGAUUGAACUCACAGCUUUACCGUGAUGUAUGAGGGAUUUUGGGCAUUUUUUUUGAAGAAUGAGCACUUGCAUAUUUAGAUUGUCGGCGUUCGAAGAAUUGAGCAUAACUUUUGCAAACGGUUUUCGUUUUGUGCCCGUAAGUACUUUUUGGAAAUGGAACGACCGUUUUGGAAUGAACUCACGGCAUCAUCGUGACGGAAGAGGGAUUUUGACCAUUUUUUUCGAAGAACUAGCACUUGCAUAUUUGGAUUGUCGGCCUUCGAAGAAUUGACCGUAACUUUUGCAUACGGUGUUCGUUCUGGGCCCAUAAAUACUUUUCGAAAAUGUAGCGACCGUUUUGGAUUGAAAUCACAACUUGCCAUGAUGUAUGAGAGAUUUUGGGAAUUUGUUUUCGAAGAACGUGCACUUGCAUAUUUGGAUUGUCAGCGUUCGAAGAAUUGAGCUUAACUUUUGCACACGGUGUCCGUUUUGGGCCCAUAAGUACUUUUCGAAAAUGUAGCGCCAGUUUUGGAUUGAACUCACAGUUUACCAUGAUGUGUGAGGUAUUUCGGGCAUUUUUUUGAAGAAUGAGCACUUGUAUAUUUGGAUUGUCGGCGUUCGAAGAAUUGUGCGUAACUUUUGCACACUGUGUUCGUUUUGGGCUCAUAAGUACUUUUCGAAAAUGUAUCGAUCAUUUUGGAUUGAACUCACGACAUCGUCGUGAUGUAAGAGGGAUUUCGACUAUGUUUUUUGAAGAAUGAGCACUUACGUAUUUGGAUUGUCGACGUUCGAAGAAUUGAGAGCAACUUUUGUACACGGUGUCCGUUCUGGGCCCAUAAGUACUUUUCAAAAAUGUAGUGACCGUUUUGGAUUGAACUCACCGCUUUUUUGUGACGUAUGAGGGAUUCUGGGCAUUUGUUUUUCGAAGAACAAGCACUUGCAUAAUUGGAUUGUCGGCAUUCGAAGAAUUGAGCAUAACUUUUGCACACGAUUUUCGUUUUGGGCCCAUAGGUAUUUUUCGUAAAUGUAGCUACCGUUUUGGACUAAACUCACGGCAUCGUCGUGACGUAAGAGGGAUUUUGGCCUUUUUUUAAAAGAACGAGCACUUGCAUAUUUGUAUUGUCGGCGUUCAAAGAAUUGAGCGUAACUUUUGUACACGGUGUCCGUUUUGGGCCCAUAAGUACUUUUGAAAAAUGCAGUGACCGUUUUGGAUUGAACUCAUGGCAUCAUCGUGAUGUAAGAGGGAUUUUGACCGUUUGUUUUUUGAACAACGAGCACUUGCAUAUUUGGAUUCUCGACAUUAGAAGAAUUGAGCAUAACAUUUACACAGUUUCCGUUUUAGGCCCAUAAGUACUUUUCGGAAAUGUAGCGACCAUUUUUUAUUGAACUCACAGCUUUGUCGUAACGUAUGAGGGAUUUCAGGCAUUUUUUUGAAGAACAAGCACUUGCAUAAUUGGAUUGUCGGCGUUCGAAGAAUGGAGUGUAACUUUUGUACACGGUGUCCGUUCUGGGCCCUUAAGUACUUUUUGUAAAUGUAGCAAUCGUUUUGGAUUAAACUGCAGCAUCGUCGUGUCGUAAGAGGGAUUUCGGCCAUUUAUUUUUUGAAGAACGAGCACUUGCAUAUUUGGAUUGUCGGCGUUCGAAGAAUUGAGCAUAACUUUUGCACACGAUGUUCGUUUUAGGCCUAUAAGUACUUUUUGGAAAUGUAACGACCGUUUUGGAUUGAACUCACCACUUUGCGAUGACGUAUGAGGGAUUUCGAGCAUUUUUCUUUCGAAGAACGAGUACUUGCAUAAUUGGAUUGUCGGCGUUCAAAGAAUAGAGCGUAACUUUUGCACACGGUGUUUGUUUUGGGCCCAUAAGUACUUUUCGAAAAUGUAGCGACCAUUUUGGAUUUAACUCAUGGCAUCGUCAUGAGAUAAGAGGGAUUUCAGCCUUUUUUUUAGAAGAACAAGCACUAACAUAUUUGGAUUUUCGGCGUUCGAAGAAUUGAGUGUAACUUUUGCACACGGCUUCUGUUUUGGGCGCACAAAUACUUUUCGAAAAUGUUACGAUUGUUUUGGAUUGAACUCAUGGCAUCAUCGUGAUGUAAGAGGGAUUUCGACCAUUUGUUUUUCGAAGAACGAACAUUUGCAUGUUUGGAUCAUCGACGCUCGAAGAAUUGAGCGUAACUUUUGCAUACAGUGUCCGUUUUGGGCCCAUAAGUGCUUUUCGAAAAUGUAGCGACAGUUUUGGAUUGAACUUAGAGCUUUUCCGCGACGUAUGAAGGAUUUCGGGCAUUUUUUUUGAAGAAUGAGCACUUCCAUAUUUGGAUUGUCGGCGCUCGAAGAAUUGAGUGUAACUUUUGCACAUGGUUUUCGUUUUGGGCCCAUAAGUACUUUUUGGAAAUGUAGCGACCAUUUUGAAUUGCACUCAUGGUAUCGUAGUGAUGUAAGAGGUAUUUCGACCAUUUUUCUUUCGAAGAACGAGCACUUGCAUAUUUGGAUUGUCGACGUUCGAAGAAUUGAGCGUAACUUUUGCACACGAUUUCCGUUUUGGGCCCAUAAGUACUUUUUGGAAAUGUAGCGACCAUUUUGAAUUGCACUCAUGGUAUCGUAGUGAUGUAAGAGGUAUUUCGAUCAUUUUUCUCUCGAAGAACGAGCACUUGCAUAUUUGGAUUGUCGACGUUCGAAGAAUUGAGCGUAACUUUUGCACACGAUUUCCGUUUUGGGCCCAUAAGUACUUUUCGAAAAUGUAGCGACUGUUUUGGAUUGAACUCACGGUAUCUUCAUGACGUAAGAGGGAUUUCAACCAUUUGUUUUUGAAUAACGAGCACUUGCACAGUUGGAUUGUCGGCGUUCGAAGAAUUGAGAGCAACUUUUUCACACGAUGUCCGUUCUGGGCCCAUAAGUACUUUUCGGAUAUGUAGCGACCAUUUUGGAUUGAAUUCAUAGCUUUUCUGUGAUGUAUGAGGGAUUUCGGGCAUUUUUUCGAAGAACGAGCACUUGCAUAUUUGGAUUGUCGGCGUUCGAAGAAUUGAACGUAACUUUUGCAAACGGUUUUCGUUUUGGGCCCAUAAGUACUUAGCAACCAUUUUGGAUUGAACUCACGGCAUCAUCACGAUGUAAGAGGGACUUUGGCCGUUUGUUUUUUGAAGAACGAGCACUUGCAUAUUUGGAUUAUCGACGUUCUAAGAAUUGAGCGUAACUUUUGCACACGGUUUCCAUUUUGGGCCUAUAACUACUUUUCAAAAAUGCAGCGACUGUUUUGGAUUGAACUCACGGCACCAUCAUGAUGUAAGAGGGAUUUCAGCUGUUUGAUUUUUGAAGAACGAGCAUUGGCAUAUUUGGAUUGUCGGCGUUCGAGGAAUUGAGCGUAACUUUUGCACACGGUGUUCGUUUUGGGCCCAUAAGUACUUUUCGAAAAUGUAGCAACUGUUUUGGAUUAAACUCACAGCUUUACCGUGACGUCUGAGGGAUUUUGGGCUUUUUUUUGGAAGAACGAGCACUUGCAUAUUUGGAUUGUCGGCGUUUGAAGAAUUGAGCGUAACUUUUGCACAAGGUUUUCGUUUCGGGCCCAUAAGUACUUUUCAAAAU
rnacentral:lncRNA from 1 species